rnacentral:misc_RNA from 1 species
AGCCUCAAUCCCCCGGGUUUCCGGGAAGAUUGGACUUGGGCGUCUGCCAUGCCACAUGGCUCGCCUUAAAUGACUCAGUGGAACGAUCGACUGUAGUCGGGAGUAAUAAGUUUCUCUCGGUCACGUUGAUUCAACCGCUCAUAACACUGUGGAAACACAAUUUAUGA